rnacentral:rRNA from 1 species
AGUGAACGCUGGCGGUAGGCCUAACACAUGCAAGUCGAACGGCAGCACAGUAAGAGCUUGCUCUUACGGGUGGCGAGUGGCGGACGGGUGAGGAAUACAUCGGAAUCUACUUUUUCGUGGGGGAUAACGUAGGGAAACUUACGCUAAUACCGCAUACGACCUACGGGUGAAAGCAGGGGAUCUUCGGACCUUGCGCGAUUGAAUGAGCCGAUGUCGGAUUAGCUAGUUGGCGGGGUAAAGGCCCACCAAGGCGACGAUCCGUAGCUGGUCUGAGAGGAUGAUCAGCAACACUGGACCUGAGACACGGCCCAGACUCCUACGGGAGGCAGCAGUGGGGAAUAUUGGACAAUGGGCGCAAGCCUGAUCCAGCCAUACCGCGUGGGUGAAGAAGGCCUUCGGGUUGUAAAGCCCUUUUGUUGGGAAAGAAAAGCAGCAGGUUAAUACCCCGCUGUUCUGACGGUACCCAAAGAAUAAGCACCGGCAAACUUCGU